rnacentral:rRNA from 1 species
AGCGGUAGAAUAUUAAUUGACUCUUCGGAAGAUUUUAAUAUUUGAGAGCGGCGAACGGGUGAGUAACACGUUGGUAUCUGCCCCCAAGUCAGGGAUAGCCAUUGGAAACGAUGAUUAAUACCGGAUAGUCUCUUCGGAGUAAAGAUUUAUUGCUUGGGGAGGAGCCUGCGUUCUAUCAGCUUGUUGGUAGUGUAAAAGACUACCAAGGCUAUGACGGAUACCUGGUCUGAGAGGAUGAUCAGGCACAAUGGAACUGAGACACGGUCCAUACUCCUACGGGAGGCAGCAGUGAGGAAUCUUCCACAAUGGACGAAAGUCUGAUGGAGCGACACCGCGUGAAGGAUGAAGGCCUAACGGUUGUAAACUUCUUUUCUGAAGGAGCAUAAUGAGAGUACUUCAGGAAUAAGGGACGGCUAAAUACGUGCCAGCAGCCGCGGUAAUACGUAUGUCUCGAGCGUUACCCGGAAUCACUGGGUGUAAAGGGUUCGUAGGCGGAUCUAUAAGUCAGAUAUGAAAGACCGGAGCUCAACUCCGUGUUUGUGUUUGAAACUGUAGAUCUAGAAUUAGGGAGAGGUAAGCGGAAUUCUAAGUGUAGGGGUGCAAUCCGUAGAUACUUAGAGGAACACCAAAAGCGAAGGCAGCUUACUGGAACUAUAUUGACGCUGAGGAACGAAAGCGUGGGGAGCGAAAAGGAUUAGAUACCCUUGUAGUCCACGCCCUAAACGAUGAUAACUAAGUGUUGCACUUUGGUGCAGUGCUGUAGCUAACGCGUUAAGUUAUCCACCUGAGGAGUACGGUCGCAAGAUUAAAACUCAAAGGAAUAGACAGGGACCCACACAAGCAGUGGAUCACGUGGUUUAAUUCGACAAUAAACGGGGAACCUUACCCAGACUU